AACGAACGCUGGCGGCAGGCUUAACACAUGCAAGUCGAACGGAUGUAGCAAUACAUCAGUGGCAGACGGGUGAGUAACACGUGGGAACCUUCCUCGUUGUACGGGACAACUCAGGGAAACUUGAGCUAAUACCGUAUACGUCCGAGAGGAGAAAGAUUUAUCGCAAUGAGACGGGCCCGCGUCGGAUUAGCUAGUUGGUGGGGUAACGGCCUACCAAGGCGACGAUCCGUAGCUGANCUGAGAGGAUGAUCAGCCACACUGGGACUGAGACACGGCCCAGACUCCUACGGGAGGGCAGCAGUGGGGAAGUCUUGGACAAUGGGCGGCAAGCCUGAUCCAGCCAUGCCGCGUGAGUGAAGAAGGCCUUAGGGUUGUAAAGCUCUUUUGCCAGGGACGAAUAAUGACGGUACCUGGAGAAUAAGCCCCGGCAAACUUCGCGCCAGCCGCCGCGGUAAU
rnacentral:rRNA from 1 species